UUGAACGCUGGCGGCAUGCUUUACACAUGCAAGUCGAACGGCAGCACGGGGGCAACCCUGGUGGCGAGUGGCGAACGGGUGAGUAAUAUAUUGGAACAUACCCGGUAGUGGGGGAUAACGUACCGAAAGGUAAGCUAAUACCGCAUACGUCCUGAGGGGGAAAGCGGGGGAUCGCAAGACCUCUCGCUUUCGGAGCGGCCGAUAUCGGAUUAGCUAGUUGGUGAGGUAAAGGCUCACCAAGGCGACGAUCCGUAGCUGGUCUGAGAGGACGACCAGCCACACUGGAACUGAGACACGGUCCAGACUCCUACGGGAGGCAGCAGUGGGGAAUUUUGGACAAUGGGCGAAAGCCUGAUCCAGCCAUGCCGCGUGAGUGAAGAAGGCCUUCGGGUUGUAAAGCUCUUUCAGCAGGAACGAAAUGGC
rnacentral:rRNA from 1 species